AAAUAAACAAACCCAUUCACACAUAGCUGCAGUCAAUUUAGAGUCAGCAAUCCGACUAACCUGCAUGUCUUUGAAUGUGGGAGGAAGCCAGAGUACCUGAACAGAACACACGCAAACAGGGGGACAACAUGUAAACUUCACAUAGAAAGAACCAGAUGGAAAGUUAUCCCAUGACCUUCUUGCUAUGAGGCAACAGUGCUAACCACUAAGCCACAAUGGUGCCAUUGUAAUCUUCA